GCAGGAACUCCUUUUUUCAUGGACAGGAAACUAGUGCCAUUUCUCCAAAGAUGUAAGAGCUCACAACUCAUUAAAACUUUAUUCGUGGCACCCCGCUGAAGAAUUUAAAGCAAGACUAUUUAGUCUAGAUUAAAAAGGUGACUCUGUGUAUGCUGAAGGAGUGACGAUCUUCACUGCUCCUUUGUGAACCAAAGCUGUAAACGGAGGAGCGUGUUCCUCCCACUUCCAGGGAGUUGGAGCAGAGGGUGCAGAGGCCGCUGUCUGUGAGGAGAGACCCGCAGCUGACUGACCCUUCCCCCCUUCCUUUUUCUUCACACCUGUCCAUCGCCUUCUCAGCCGACAGGGGUGCCUGCACCAGCAGAGGGCGUCAAUUCGCUGGUUUCAGGCCGUUCAAAACACAACAGGUGACUCUGUGUAUGCUGAAGGAGUGACGAUCUUCACUGGUCCUUUGUGAACCAAAGCUGUAAACGGAGGAGCGUGUUCCUCCCACUUCCAGUCUGUUUCCUUGGAGGGAGUUGGAGCAGAGGGUGCAGAGGCCGCUGUCUGUGAGGAGAGACCCGCAGCUGACUGACCCUUCCCCCCUCCCUUUUUCUUCACACCUGUCCAUCGCCUUCUCAGCCGACAGGGGCGCCUGCACCAGCAGAGGGCGUCAAUUCGCUGGUUUCAGGCCGUUCAAAACACAACAGUCUGUUUCCUUGGAGGGAGUUGGAGCAGAGGGUGCAGAGGCCGCUGUCUGUGAGAUUGUGGCCUGGUAUGAAAGUGGCAGCUUCACACUCACUUCUGUUUCCAAUCCGACAUGACAAAACAGGAUACAGGAGGAUUGCCAGGAAAACAACUGACGAUAAAAACGCCACCAUGUCUGAAAUUAAAGAUAUUAAAUGA